AGUACAACAAUGUCUAAACACUGGCAGCAAGGUGCUGGCAACGCCUGCUGCCAGCAGCUGCCUACAGGCAUCCUGCAAGGACCAGCUGAACCCCAUGGCUCCUCUUGCAGAAGAUGGAAAACUUGUAAUUAAGCAAGGUAACCACAGGGCCUCCACCUCGCUACGCUCUUGGAACACAGCUUUGAUCAAAGAUGAAGCCGAGGGUCUGCUACUGAGGUGGUACGCCUUUAAAUCUCUGCUGCUGAUGUACAAGUAUGCGCUCACCCCUCUGAUGUUUUGAAUAAUUGUCAGCACAAUGUCAUUGGACUUAUAUACAUCUUAAUGAGAAAUUACUAAAACAGGAACUCUGCUUCUGCUUCUUAAUCUGUUGUACUCGCAUCAAAGCCAGACCCUAUAUAAACAGGAAACUGGAUUUGGUCGGAUAAAGUAAGACUGAAGAUUUAAAGGAGACUGGACACACAAAGAUAACUACGAUCACUUUUGCCUUUCCACUUAUUCCCCAGCAGAUCAUCAUCCUUCAUGAAGACAAGAACAGAAAAGAUUCCUAGGAUAGUCUGAUACAUUUAAAUAGCUGUAUUUAAAACCAAGUUUCAGUCAUACUGAA